GCGCCCAUAGCUCAGUCGGAUAGAGUAACGGACUACGAAUCCGUAGGUCGCAGGUUCGAAUCCUGCUGGGCGCACCA
rnacentral:tRNA from 1 species